CGGGGUGAGUAACGCGUGGGUAACCUGCCUUGUACUGGGGGACAACAGUUAGAAACGACUGCUAAUACCGCAUAAGCCCACGGCUCGGCAUCGAGCAGAGGGAAAAGGAGCAAUCCGCUUUGAGAUGGCCUCGCGUCCGAUUAGCUAGUUGGUGAGGUAAUGGCCCACCAAGGCGACGAUCGGUAGCCGGACUGAGAGGUUGAACGGCCACAUUGGGACUGAGACACGGCCCAG
rnacentral:rRNA from 1 species